rnacentral:RNase_P_RNA from 1 species
GAAGCUAGCUAGACAGUCGCCGCGCAGUGCAAUCUGCGGGGAGGAAAGUCCGGGCUGCACAGAGCAGGAUGACGGCUAACGGCCGUACGCUGAAAUUUGAAUGGCGCAAGCCAGUCAUUAUAAGGUGAGGAAUAGGGCCACAGAGACGAGCGUAUUUAGUUACGGUGAAACGCGGUAACCUCCAUCCGCAGCAAGACCAAAUAGGCUGGCAUUUUGUCUUUACUGACAAUAGGGCGUUGCUCGCGCUGCCAGCGGGUAGGUUGCUUGAGCGCAUGAGCAAUCAUGCGCCUAGAUGAAUGACUGUCACCACAGUAAUGUGUACACAGAACCCGGCUUAUCGGCUAGCUUCAAUU